rnacentral:rRNA from 1 species
CCUACGGGAGGCAGCAGUGGGGAAUAUUGCGCAAUGGGCGAAAGCCUGACGCAGCGACGCCGCGUGAGGGAUGAAGGUCUUCGGAUCGUAAACCUCUGUCAGCAGGGAAGAACGGUCACUGUGCUAAUCAGCAGUGAAUUGACGGUACCUGCAAAGGAAGCACCGGCUAACUCCGUGCCAGCAGCCGCGGUAAUACGGAGGGUGCGGGCGUUAAUCGGAAUUACUGGGAGUAAAGCGCUCGUAGGCGGUAUGUCAAGUCAAGGGUGAAAUCCCCGCGCUCAACGUGGGAACUGCCGUUGAAACUGGCAAACUGGAGUGUGUGAGAGGAUGGUGGAAUUCCUGGUGUAGGAGUGAAAUGCGUAGAUAUCUGGAGGAACAUCAGUGGCGAAGGCGACUAUCUGGCACAUAACUGACGCUGAGGAGCGAAAGCGUGGGUAGCAAACAGGAUUAGAUACCCGUGUAGUC